GACGAACGCUGGCGGCGUGCUUAACACAUGCAAGUCGAACGGAAAGGCCCUGCUUUUGUGGGGUGCUCGAGUGGCGAACGGGUGAGUAACACGUGAGUAACCUGCCCUUGACUUUGGGAUAACUUCAGGAAACUGGGGCUAAUACCGGAUAGGAGCUCCUGCUGCAUGGUGGGGGUUGGAAAGUUUCGGCGGUUGGGGAUGGACUCGCGGCUUAUCAGCUUGUUGGUGGGGUAGUGGCUUACCAAGGCUUUGACGGGUAGCCGGCCUGAGAGGGUGACCGGCCACAUUGGGACUGAGAUACGGCCCAGACUCCUACGGGAGGCAGCAGUGGGGAAUAUUGCACAAUGGGCGGAAGCCUGAUGCAGCAACGCCGCGUGCGGGAUGACGGCCUUCGGGUUGUAAACCGCUUUCGCCUGUGACGAAGCGUGAGGGACGGUAAUGGGUAAAGAAGCACCGGCUAACUAC
rnacentral:rRNA from 1 species